rnacentral:rRNA from 1 species
UACGUAGGGUGCAAGCGUUGUCCGGAAUUAUUGGGCGUAAAGAGCUUGUAGGCGGUUUGUCGCGUCUGCUGUGAAAUUUCGGGGCUCAACCCCGAACUUGCAGUGGGUACGGACAGACUAGAGUGUGGUAGGGGAGACUGGAAUUCCUGGUGUAGCGGUGAAAUGCGCAGAUAUCAGGAGGAACACCGGUGGCGAAGGCGGUUCUCUGGGCCUUACCUGACACUGAGGAGCGAAAGCGUGGGGAGCGAACAGG